GGCCAAUCUAUAGGUUGACCUCGCCUUAAGCUUAUGGUAUAGAUAAAAGUAACGGCCUCUAAGUUUAUUAACCUAAAGGACUAAACGAUGAGAAAACCUUGUUUAUAAAGUAAUAACCUUUAAAUUUUUAAACAUUUCUGGGGUCGCACGCCCUCUAUCCUCUUUAGGAUAGAGUGAGCGCGGCCCCAUAUCUGCAUGUAAAUAAUAAGUGAUGAAGA
rnacentral:rRNA from 1 species